UUACAAUGGAGAGUUUGAUCCUGGCUCAGGAUGAACGCUAGCGGCAGG
rnacentral:rRNA from 2 species